rnacentral:rRNA from 1 species
AUUAAACGCUGGCGGCAUGCCUUACACAUGCAAGUCGAACGGCAGCACGGGGGCAACCCUGGUGGCGAGUGGCGGACGGGUGAGUAAAGCAUCGGAACGUAUCCUGGAGUGGGGGAUAACGUAGCGAAAGUUACGCUAAUACCGCAUAUUCUGUGAGCAGGAAAGCAGGGGAUCGCAAGACCUUGCGCUCUGGGAGCGGCCGAUGUCGGAUUAGCUAGUUGGUGGGGUAAAGGCCUACCAAGGCGACGAUCCGUAGCGGGUCUGAGAGGAUGAUCCGCCACACUGGGACUGAGACACGGCCCAGACUCCUACGGGAGGCAGCAGUGGGGAAUUUUGGACAAUGGGCGCAAGCCUGAUCCAGCCAUGCCGCGUGAGUGAAGAAGGCCUC